rfam:Eubacterium sp. CAG:38 genomic scaffold, scf81
GGAUACCAGGGUCAAAAGGUCUGAACCCACAUGAGCUUGCUCAUAUGUGGGUGAACGACCUUGGGACCCGCCCGCUAUGAGCAUAAAAGUGGGAUGAAAUCCCACGAUAUGCGAAUAGCGGGCCGGAUUGUGAGAGUGCGCAGCACGAAACAAUCCGUGAUUAUUA